CUGCCUGCCCAGUGACCAAAAGUUAAACGGCCGCGGUAUCUUGACCGUGCGAAGGUAGCAUAAUCACUUGUCUCCUAAAUAGAGACUAGUAUGAAUGGCAAGACGGAGCUCUGCUGUCUCCUCUUCUUUAACCUGAAUUUCACAAUCCCGUGAAGAGGCGAGAAUUAUUUCGUAAGACGAGAAGACCCUGUCGAGCUGCAGUAAAACCCCGACUACUAUACAUCUUUUACUUCAACUAAUAACUAUAAAAUUAGUGGACAAAAAGAUAUAGUAAAUCUGGGCAAACUUCGAUUGGGGCAAUCCCGGAGAAAGAAAAUCCUCCGUUACUAUAAUGGUUUUACUAAACCUAAUCAAGCAGAGUCAUAGCUCUGCAAUCAUAAAUGAAGGUAUGAUCCACUCACAGUGAUCAAAAGAACAAGUUACCGCAGGGAUAACAGCGUUAUCUUUUCUGAGAGUUCAUAUUGACGAAAAGGUUUGCGACCUCGAUGUUGGAUCGGGACAUCCUAAGGGUGCAGAAGCUUUUAAGGGUUGGUCUGUUCGACCAUUAAAGUCCUACGUGAUCUGAGU
rnacentral:rRNA from 1 species